UGAGACAGCUACAGGUGAGACCAGCUACAAGUGAGACAGCUACAGGUGAGACAGCUACAGGUGAGGACAGCUACAGGUGAGACAGCUACAAGUGAGACAGCUACAGGUGAGACAGCUACAGGUGAGACAGCUACGCGUGAGACAGCUACAGCUGAGACAGCUACAGGUGAGACAGCUACAGCUGAGACAGCUACAGGUGAGACAGCUACAGGUGAGACCUGGACAGGACCAGGACUCGUCUCUAGUCGUGUGGUUAACCGGAUGCUCUCUCUUCUGAUUGUGUGCUGAAGAGGUUCACUUAUUCGUGCUGAAUGUUUUGCAGCUCUGGUCUCACCUGCGUCUCACCUGUAGACCAGGUGAAAGGAGAUAAUCCUGAGCGGUGUAAUUCUAUACUUUCUCCAACAUCUUCCUGUCUUCUUAUCUCCUCAUCUCGUCUUUUUCUUCUUCUCUGCUGAUCUACAUCGCUGCUUUUUCACACGCAAAUCAUUUCAUUCCUUGGCCUCCUCUUCUACUUCUACUUCUUCUUCGUUAAAUAAAUCAUCUGACACUAAAUACUUUUCCAAACAACGAAACAUCUGCAGCCCCCACGUCCUUCCCCCCUGACACCCGCCCCCCUCCAUUCCUCCAUCCAUCCAUCCAUCCGUCCACUUGCUCUGAUGUGGCUCCGCACUAAUGGAUGUUUUCAAUUUGAUGCUACGUGCUUGUGAGUUACAAAAGAGACACAGACAGAUAGAGAGAGAGAGACAGUCAGAUAGACAGACAGAGACAAAAAGAAAGAGACGGAUGGAGAGAUAGACAGGUGCAGAGAGGGAGACACAGUCAACAAGACAGACAGAUAGACAAAGAAAGAGACAGGUGGAGAGAGAGAGAGACAGUCUGCCAGUCACAGACAGUCAAGAAUAAAAUUUAAAGAGCUUGUAACACCAUACGGCCACUAGAGAGCUGCGCUCCAUACAUGCUGGUUACUUGUUCAGUCUUAAAAAGUAGGAUGGAGCCUUCAGUUAUCAAGCUGCUGUAAACAUUAUUGCACAUCACUAACUUUCUUCCACGGAGUACUUGUGCUUUCUCGCCUCACAGGUUUCCACAGCUCAUGGUUCUAUCUGGACCCUGUUCCUGCCUCCUGCUGUGGCUCUGCUGACACCUGCUGCUGCUAUCAUCAUUAUUUUAAAUAUUACAAUUUUGGUCUGUUGCUGUGGUACAUUUCUCAAAUGGUAAAUGGUCUGUACGUGUAUAGCGCUUUUCUAGUCUUCCGACCACUCAAAGUGCUUUAACACUACAUGACAUCAUUCACCCAUUCACACACUGAUGACAGGAGAACCACACACAGUGACACCUGCCCACCAGUAACUAACAUUCACACACUGAUGACAGGAGAACCACACACAGUGACACCUGCCCACCAGUAACUAACAUUCACACACUGUAGUCGCAGUUGAAGUUGAAGCUCCAACCCUCUGAUCGGAGGUCAACCGCGCUCCCCACUCACCCAUAGUCGCCCAGAAUCAUCCUCGACAUUUGCAAAACAGUACGUGCAUUUCUCAAAACAACUUGUACAAAUAGCAAAGCACCAUGGAUGACCUUGAGAUCUCUCUCAAAAUCCUUAGUUCAUCUCUCAAAAGUAAAAUCUGUUUCACUGAACAUGCCAGUCCAUCAGAAGUCCUCAUUGUGUCGUUGUGUAUGCAUCAGACGGUCAUGUUGUUAGUAUAACAGUGUACUCUGGAGGAUCUGUGCACACCUUAGUGUUUGUGCGAGAUUGAUUGAAACAGACUGGAUAAGAUUCACAUUUACGCUUUUACUGAUUGUACUGUAAUUUAUUCACACACUAUGUCAUUAAAUUUCCUCCAUGCGGUUAAGGAAUGGGGAGUAGAGUGAGAGGAACUCCAUCAGCAUCCUGUUUCGGGUCGCAAACCAUUGCCUGGUGAUGUUCGAACGAUGGAAACUGACAUUGUUUUGAUCUACAUGGCGUAACAGAUAAUUGUACAUAAUCAUUUGCAUGGAUGUACCAAAGCAUUUGCAACUUGUUCAAAAAAUGGGAAACUGCUUUUUUGAUGUGCACACGUGACACAAUUAUGUGAAGAUUAAACAGGUAGUUUUCAGAAUUUCAGUUCGAAUCUGAAAAAUGUACCAAAGCGACUGAGAAAAACUUCAUCACUAUUACAGUCAUCAUAAUCCAACAUAACCCGCUUUGCUUCUUUCCUUUGGUCUGCUUUCCCUUUCCCCCCCCGCAGGCUUCUGUGGAUGGUGGUUCUAUGUGAUAGCGGUUCUAUGUGAUGGUGGGUUCUAUGUGAUAGCGGUUCUAUGUGAUGGUGGUUCUAUGUGAUAGUGGUUCCAUGUGAUGGUGGUUCUAUGUGAUAGUGGUUCUAUGUGAUAGUGGUUCUAUGUGAUGGUGGUUCUAUGUGAUGGUGGUUCUAUGUGAUGGUGGUUCUAAGUGAUAGUGGUUCUAUGUGAUGGUGGUUCUAUGUGAUGGUGGUUCUAUGUGAUGGUGGUUCUAUGUGAUGGUGGUUCUAUGUGAUAGUGGUUCUAUGUGAUGGUGGUUCUAUGUGAUAGUGGUUCUAUGUGAUGGUGGUUCUAUGUGAUGGUGGUUCUAUGUGAUGGUGGUUCUAUGUGAUAGUGGUUCUAUGUGAUGGUGGUUCUAUGUGAUGGUGGUUCUAUGUGAUGGUGGUUCUAUGUGAUGGUGGUUCUAUGUGAUGGUGGUUCUAUGUGAUAGUGGUUCUAUGUGAUGGUGGUUCUAUGUGAUGGUGGUUCUAUGUGAUGGUGGUUCUAUGUGAUGGUGGUUCUAUGUGAUGGUGGUUCUAUGUGAUGGUGGUGGUCCCUGCAGUGGUCCUGCUGUAAUCUGUACACAUGACAUCCAUUGUAGUCGUCCAUCAGGGCAGAGGGAUCCUCCUCUGACGUUCUCAGUAAGGUUUCUUCUAUCUAAGAACUGUGUGCCGAUGUGAGGGUUUUCGGGGUGUUUUCUUGCAUGUGUAAAGCCCUCUGAGGCAAAUUUGUAAUUUGCGAUUUUGGAAUUGAAUUGAGACAGAGAGACACAGACAGACAGACAGAGAAGACACAAGUCAGCCCGACAGAUAGAAAGACAGUCCAGACAGGAGAGACAGACAAGUAAAGAGAGUGACAGACUGUUUGUGGAAGGAAGGAGGGAGGGGGGGGGGG
ensembl:lncRNA